UUGACGGUACCCUACUAGAAAGGAGCCGCUAACUUCGUGCCAGAAGCGUCGGUAAUACGGGGGCUCCAAGCGUUAUCCGGUGUUAUUGGGCGUAAAGAGUCGUGUAGGUGGUUGGGUAAGUUAUCUUUCAAAUAUCUUUGCUUAACAAAGAGGAGGGGGAUAAUACUGCUCGACUAGAAUUUUCUCAAGGGAGAUCGGAACUGAGGGGGGAGUAGUGAAAUGCGUUGAUACCCUCGGGAACACCAGUGGCGUAGGCGGAUCUCUGGGAGAAGAUUGACACUGAGACACGAAAGCUAGGGGAGCGAAGCAGAUUAGAGACCUGCGUAGUCCUAGCCGUAAACGCAUGCUUGCUAGCUGCAUGAAUCUACCUUCGGGUGGUAUCGUGUGGCGAAGGUAACCCGUUAAGCAAGCCGCCUGGAAAGUACGGCCGCAAGGCUGAAAUUCAAAGGAAUUGGCGGGGAGGCACACAACCAGUGGAACAUGUGGUUUAAUUCGAGACUAACCGAAGAACCUCACCAGGGUUUGACAUGUAGCUGCACGUCUUAAGAAAUUAAGACUCUCUUGAAGGUGCUACACAGGUGCUGCAUGGCUGUCGUCAGCUCGUUCCGUGAGGAGUGCCCUUAAGUGGGACAACGAGCGCAACCCCUAUUACAUGUUAGAAAUGUCAUGUAAGACUGCCUUGCCAUUUGGCGGGGAGGAAGGAGGGGCAGACGUCAAGUCCGCAUGGUCCUUAUGCCCUGGGCUACACACAUGUUACAAUGAGUACGGCAAUGAGUCUGUCGCGAGCACGUAAGUGUAAGCUAAUCUCUUAAAUGUACUCUCAGUGGGGAUUGAGGUCUGCAACUCGACCUCAUG
rnacentral:rRNA from 1 species